UUACUAAUCGGUUAAAAAAGUAUUGCGUCAUCUCUCUUCCCCUUGAAUGAAACAAGGGACAUUCUCUGUUCGUUUCUUACUAUUCGCUUGGAAUUAGGGCUUUUAGUGACAGAGCUAAAAUAGAAAUUCUGAUUGGAAGUAUGUUACUCAGUGAAUUGAGUUUUGUUGGAGGGAGGGAUCAACAUCUCCUCCCAGUCCCAUCCAUUAAGAGGAGGGAAUGCACACAGCCAAAUUGUUCAGUAAUGAAACAUGUGAAUACUCUUCUCAAGUGAUCAACGAAGGCGGGAGUGAGUGCUAUCCAAAUGUACGAGAAACUUGAAACAGGAGCUGUGCCGCUUGAAUCAAAAUCCAUUCCAUAUAUGGUAACAAAGAACCAAAGUUGACAGAGACCUUGGUGAAUCUAUUACCAGCCCCCAUAAAAACUCUACAAAUGCACAAACCAGGGUGAAGCUAUCGGUUGCCUUUCAAGUUCAGCGAGAGCCACUCCGUCAUUAUCAAAAAAGCCCAAGUAAUAGAAAUAUGCUUCUUCUCAUAGUAGCCAUUAAAUUAAACCAAGUACACCUGAACAACCGACCACAGCCAGAUGAAAAUAAUCGUACAGACAUCGUAUAAGCAACUCAAGUAAGUCGGCUACCCAAUUCCUGAUAUUUAUUUGUAAUAUUUUAACUUGUAAACUAGUAUCACGUCAUUAUUUCAUUUUAGUCUACAAGGAAUUAAUGUUGUCAACUUAUCAUAACUAAGAUGCUUAUUUACUAGACUUUUUUUCAGUUUUAA